AUUUAAAUAGUUUAAUAAAAAAUAUUGAUUUGUGGAAUCAGGGAUGUAAUUUAAUUACUUUAGAUA
rnacentral:tRNA from 1 species